rnacentral:tRNA from 24 species
GAAGAAAAUCCGUUGGUUUCGGCCGUGAGGGUUCAAGUCCCUCUAUCCCCA